GUUGUAUGGUUAAGUGACUAAGCGUACACGGUGGAUGCCUGGGCAGUCAGAGGCGAUGAAGGACGUACUAACUUGCGAUAAGCGCAGAUAAGGCAGUAAGAGCCGUUUGAGUCUGCGAUUUCCGAAUGGGGAAACCCAACUGCAUAAGCAGUUACUGUUAACUGAAUACAUAGGUUAACAGAGCAAACCGGGGGAACUGAAACAUCUAAGUACCCGAGGAGAAGAAAUCAACCGAGAUUCCGGUAGUAGCGGCGAGCGAACCUGGAUUAGCCCUUAAGCACUCGGUGAAGUAGGUGAACAAGCUGGAAAGCUUGGCGAUACAGGGUGAUAGCCCCGUAACCGACGCUUCAUCGAGCGUGAAAUCGAGUAGGGCGGGACACGUGAUAUCCUGUCUGAAUAUGGGGGGACCAUCCUCCAAGGCUAAAUACUCCUGACUGACCGAUAGUGAACCAGUACCGUGAGGGAAAGGCGAAAAGAACCCCUGUGAGGGGAGUGAAAUAGAACCUGAAACCGUGUACGUACAAGCAGUAGGAGCACCUUCGUGGUGUGACUGCGUACCUUUUGUAUAAUGGGUCAGCGACUUAUAUUCAGUGGCAAGGUUAACCGUAUAGGGGAGCCGUAGCGAAAGCGAGUCUUAACUGGGCGCUCAGUCUCUGGAUAUAGACCCGAAACCGGGUGAUCUAGCCAUGGGCAGGUUGAAGGUUGAGUAACAUCAACUGGAGGACCGAACCGACUAAUGUUGAAAAAUUAGCGGAUGACUUGUGGCUAGGGGUGAAAGGCCAAUCAAACUCGGAGAUAGCUGGUUCUCCCCGAAAGCUAUUUAGGUAGCGCCUCGGACGAAUACUACUGGGGGUAGAGCACUGUUAAGGCUAGGGGGUCAUCCCGACUUACCAACCCUUUGCAAACUCCGAAUACCAGUAAGUACUAUCCGGGAGACACACGGCGGGUGCUAACGUCCGUCGUGGAGAGGGAAACAACCCAGACCGCCAGCUAAGGUCCCAAAGUAUUGCUAAGUGGGAAACGAUGUGGGAAGGCUCAGACAGCUAGGAUGUUGGCUUAGAAGCAGCCAUCAUUUAAAGAAAGCGUAAUAGCUCACUAGUCGAGUCGGCCUGCGCGGAAGAUGUAACGGGGCUAAGCAAUACACCGAAGCUGCGGCAAUGUCUUUUAGACAUUGGGUAGGGGAGCGUUCUGUAAGCCGUUGAAGGUGAAUCGUAAGGUUUGCUGGAGGUAUCAGAAGUGCGAAUGCUGACAUGAGUAACGACAAAGGGGGUGAAAAACCUCCUCGCCGGAAGACCAAGGGUUCCUGUCCAACGUUAAUCGGGGCAGGGUGAGUCGACCCCUAAGGUGAGGCCGAAAGGCGUAAUCGAUGGGAAACGGGUUAAUAUUCCCGUACUUCUGACUAUUGCGAUGGGGGACGGAGAAGGCUAGGUGGGCCAGGCGACGGUUGUCCUGGUUCAAGUGCGUAGGCUUGAGAGUUAGGUAAAUCCGGCUCUCUUUAAGGCUGAGACACGACGUCGAGCUGCUACGGCAGUGAAGUCAUUGAUGCCAUGCUUCCAGGAAAAGCCUCUAAGCUUCAGAUAGUCAGGAAUCGUACCCCAAACCGACACAGGUGGUCGGGUAGAGAAUACCAAGGCGCUUGAGAGAACUCGGGUGAAGGAACUAGGCAAAAUGGUACCGUAACUUCGGGAGAAGGUACGCUCUUGAUGGUGAAGUCCCUCGCGGAUGGAGCUGACGAGAGUCGCAGAUACCAGGUGGCUGCAACUGUUUAUUAAAAACACAGCACUGUGCAAAAUCGCAAGAUGACGUAUACGGUGUGACGCCUGCCCGGUGCCGGAAGGUUAAUUGAUGGGGUUAGCGCAAGCGAAGCUCUUGAUCGAAGCCCCGGUAAACGGCGGCCGUAACUAUAACGGUCCUAAGGUAGCGAAAUUCCUUGUCGGGUAAGUUCCGACCUGCACGAAUGGCGUAAUGAUGGCCACGCUGUCUCCACCCGAGACUCAGUGAAAUUGAAAUCGCUGUGAAGAUGCAGUGUACCCGCGGCUAGACGGAAAGACCCCGUGAACCUUUACUACAGCUUGGCACUGAACAUUGAACCUACAUGUGUAGGAUAGGUGGGAGGCUAUGAAGACGUGACGCCAGUUGCGUUGGAGCCGUCCUUGAAAUACCACCCUUGUAUGUUUGAUGUUCUAACUUAGACCCAUUAUCUGGGUUGAGGACAGUGCCUGGUGGGUAGUUUGACUGGGGCGGUCUCCUCCCAAAGAGUAACGGAGGAGCACGAAGGUGGGCUAAUCACGGUUGGACAUCGUGAGGUUAGUGCAAUGGCAUAAGCCCGCUUAACUGCGAGAAUGACGGUUCGAGCAGGUGCGAAAGCAGGUCAUAGUGAUCCGGUGGUUCUGUAUGGAAGGGCCAUCGCUCAACGGAUAAAAGGUACUCCGGGGAUAACAGGCUGAUACCGCCCAAGAGUUCAUAUCGACGGCGGUGUUUGGCACCUCGAUGUCGGCUCAUCACAUCCUGGGGCUGAAGUCGGUCCCAAGGGUAUGGCUGUUCGCCAUUUAAAGUGGUACGCGAGCUGGGUUUAGAACGUCGUGAGACAGUUCGGUCCCUAUCUGCCGUGGGCGUUGGAAGAUUGAAGGGGGCUGCUCCUAGUACGAGAGGACCGGAGUGGACGAACCUCUGGUGUUCGGGUUGUGUCGCCAGACGCAUUGCCCGGUAGCUAAGUUCGGAAUUGAUAAGCGCUGAAAGCAUCUAAGCGCGAAGCGAGCCCUGAGAUGAGUCUUCCCUGAUACUUUAAGUAUCCUAAAGGGUUGUUCGAGACUAGAACGUUGAUAGGCAGGGUGUGUAAGCGUUGUGAGGCGUUGAGCUAACCUGUACUAAUUGCCCGUGAGGCUUAACCAUACAACACCCAAGGGGUUUUGUA
rnacentral:rRNA from 1 species